UGAGGAAUAUUGGACAAUGGGCGAAAGCCUGAUCCAGCAACGCCGCGUGCGCGAUGACGGCCUUCGGGUUGUAAAGCGCUUUUAGAGGAGAUGAGAAAGGACAGUAUCCUCUGAAUAAGCCUCGGCGAACUACGUGCCAGCAGCCGCGGUAAUACGUAGGAGGCGAGCGUUGUCCGGAUUUACUGGGUAUAAAGGGUCCGCAGGCGGAUUGACAAGUCGAUGGUGAAAUCCUUCAGCUUAACUGAAGAGCUGCCGUCGAUACUGUUGAUCUUGAAUACAGGAGAGGGUAACGGAAUUCCAGGUGUAGCGGUGAAAUGCUUAGAUAUCUGGAAGAACACCGGUAGCGAAGGCUGUUGCCUGCCCUGGUAUUGACGCUCAGGGACGAAAGCGUGGGGAUCAAACA
rnacentral:rRNA from 1 species